rnacentral:rRNA from 1 species
UACAGAGGUCUCAAGCGUUGUUCGGAUUCAUUGGGCGUAAAGCGCACGUAGGCGGUCUGUUAUGUCGGAUGUGAAAGCCCUAGGCUUAACUGAGGAAGUGCAUCCGAAACUGGCAGGCUAGAGUACUAAAGAGGGUCGCGGAAUUCCCGGUGUAGAGGUGAAAUUCGUAGAUAUCGGGAGGAACACCGGUGGCGAAGGCGGCGACCUGGGUAGAUACUGACGCUGAGGUGCGAAAGCGUGGGGAGCAAACAGG